ACUUAAAUAGCUCAUAUUUAGAGCAUAAUAUUGAAGAUAUUAAGGAAAUAAGAUUUAUUUUUAAGUA
rnacentral:tRNA from 1 species